UACGUAGAAGACUAGUGUUAUUCAUCUUUAAUAGGUUUAAAGGGUACCUAGACGGUAUAAUUAGUCUUUAACAGGAAACGGUUAUACUAGAGUUAUAUAUGAGGAGGUGAGUAUUUGUGGAGUAGAGUUGAAAUUCUUUGAUACCAUGAAGACUGGUAAAGGCGAAAGCAACCUUUUAUCUAAUAACUGACGUUGAGGGACGAAGGCUCGG
rnacentral:rRNA from 1 species